rnacentral:tRNA from 1 species
UCCCUGGUGGUCCAGUGGUCAGGACUCUGCACUUUCACUACUGAGGGUGAGGUUUAAAUCCUUGGUCAGGGAA